UCCAUACUUGAUUAUCUUGGCUUGCUAAAAUAUUUUUCUCCGUUUUUCCACAAUUUAUAUGAUUGUUGGCUAUUGUGAAAUCUUUUUUGUUGCUCCAACAUGUACGCAGCACGAUAAUAUUGUCUUAGCAUGAAAGUGGUCACUACUAAAUUUACCCCUGAUCAUUGGUAUUGAGAUGCAGGUGCUGUCAGGCAAGCAUUAUACACUGGUUUUUGUGUUAGUUCGGCGAACCCUAACCCUCAUGAGUUCCAUCACUUCUCCCAUCAAUAUUUUUUUUAGUUUGUUGUAGGUGCUCUCAGUCGAGGUAUUGAAGAAUGGAGACUAUUUGUGAUGGUUUUAUGUGGGUAAUCCAGAAGCUCAUGAUUUGAAAUGGCUGUUGGCUAUAGGUUAGUUUACCUGUACUCUCAUAUUAUCCAUGUAUGCGUGCCUACGAUUUACAAAGUUUGAUGCUACUGGCUUUGUCUAUGAUUCAUACCAUGCCACUAUUUGUUAUUGCUGUUGAAGAUAAAAAAAAAUAGCCAUUUUGAAGAAAAUA